GAGUUUGAUCCUGGCUCAGAACGAACGCUGGCGGCGUGCCUAACACAUGCAAGUCGAACGGAUUUGAGGGGCUUGCUCCUCAAGUUAGUGGCGCACGGGUGAGUAACGCGUAGAUAAUCUGCCUGAUGAUCUGGGAUAACACUUYGAAAGGGGUGCUAAUACCGGAUAAGCCCACGGGGUCUUUGGAUUCUGCGGGAAAAGGGGGGGACUUUCGGGCCUUYUGUCAUCAGAUGAGUCUGCGUACCAUUAGCUAGUUGGUAGGGUAAUGGCCUACCAAGGCUACGAUGGUUAGCUGGUUUGAGAGAAUGAUCAGCCACACUGGAACUGAGACACGGUCCAGACUCCUACGGGAGGCAGCAGUGGGGAAUUUUGSGCAAUGGGGGAAACCCUGACGCAGCAACGCCGCGUGAGUGAUGAAGGCCUUCGGGUUGUAAAGCACUUUCGGACGGAACGAAAUCGCGCGGGCGAAUAUCCCGCGUGGAUGACGGUACCGUAAGAAGAAGCACCGGCUAACUACGUGCCAGCAGCCGCGGUAAUAC
rnacentral:rRNA from 1 species